AUCGAACGCUGGCGGCAGGCUUAACACAUGCAAGUCGAGCGGUAACAGAGAGAGGCUUGCUUCUCUGCUGAGAAGCGGCGGACGGGAGAGUAAUGCCUAGUAAUCUGCCUAGUAGGGGGGGAUAACUUGCCGAAAGGUAAGCUAAAACCGCAUACGUCCUAGGGGGGAAAGGAGGGGGACUUCGGGCCUUUCGGUAUUAGAUGAGACUAGGUGGGAUGGGGUGGUGGGUGAGGGAAUGGCUCACGAAGACCGCGAUCCGUAACUGGUCUGAGAGGAUGACAAGCCACACUGGAACUGAGACACGGUCCAGACUCCUACGGGAGGCAGCAGUGGGGAAUAUUGGACAAUGGGGGAAACCCUGAUUCAGCCAUGCCGCGUGUGUGAAGAAGGUCUUAGGAUUGUAAAGCACUUUAAGUUGGGAGGAAGAGCAGUUACCUAAUAUUUGACUGUUUUGACGUUACCGACAGAAUAAGCACCGGCUAACUUCGUGCCAGCAGCCGCCGUAA
rnacentral:rRNA from 1 species